UACGAAGGGGGCUAGCGUUGCUCGGAAUGACUGGUCGUAAAGGGCGCGUAGGCGGAUGGCACAGUCAGAUGUGAAAUUCCUGGGCUUAACCUGGGGGCUGCAUUUGAUACGUGUGAUCUAGAGUGAGGAAGAGGGUUGUGGAAUUCCCAGUGUAGAGGUGAAAUUCGUAGAUAUUGGGAAGAACACCGGUGGCGAAGGCGGCGACCUGGUCCUUAACUGACGCUGAGGCGCGAAAGCGUGGGGAGCAAACAGG
rnacentral:rRNA from 1 species